rnacentral:lncRNA from 1 species
GCUGGCAGUGGGAGGAGGGAGCAGACGACCCAGAAUAGCAAAGAAGACAGAAGCUCAGCACACCCAGAGCUGCUUUUAGCUGGGCCUGGUAAGCCUGGCUCUAGGAGCCUUACUUCUCACCUCCCUACACACAUUUUUCCCAGAGGCCAGGUUUCUGAGUGUUCUCAUAAAAAAAAAAAAAAAAAAAAAAAAAAAAAAAAAAAAAAAAAAAGAAAGAAAAAGAAAAGAGAAAGGAAAAAAGACUUCAUCAAAAAUCCUCUCUCAGUGCCUGUCAUUGUAGAGUUGAGAGUGAUCCCACAUUCGCCGGGUUUCCGCACCUGUGGCGCCAGGGGCAGUGACGUGCAGAGACAUUCCUUUGCUCCAGGGUUAUUUGGGAUCUGGUCUGUGCUAGGCCUGGCAUGAAGCUCGGAGGAUGCAGAGAGGUAAACAAAAGAUGCCCCAUGCCCCCGAAUGGUGUGUGCCGGUCGAACCAGUUCGAAUAUGUCUGCCUUGGAUCCUCAGCUUCAGGCGAGCACAUCUGCAUCAGUCACGUUCAUUGCGGCCGCCCCCGUGCGGGAUGCUGUGCUGGGCACUCGGGUGUCGUGCGUGUUUAACUGGCUGGCCUCCCGUGUUGGUCAGUCCUGGAAUGUGCGGGGGGAUCUGAGGAGGUAAGUGGAGCAAGAGGGAAACUCACGGCGGGGUGGGUGACCAAUCUGGGCAGAGUGGCCCUGUCUAGACACGCUGGCGAUGCCAGUGCCGCUCAGGAGGAGGGUCUAGAAGGGUCGCCCUGGUCAGGAGGAGGGAUUCCUUUGGUCUGAGGACCAGGAGGAAGGAGGAGGACGACCUGACCUGCAGCCCCACGUCACCGGGUGAAGCCCGGGGUUGGGGAAGAAAGGACCAGCCAGUGGCAGGGAAGGCUAGACUGGGCGGGAGAGGAGAAACCAGCGGGAGAGGAAGCCUGGCGGCUGCUCCAGGCUCAAGUGGAAGCAGAGCUGAAGCAGGGGAGUGCCAGGCGAAGGUGGUGGCGGGGACGAAGCGCAGGCGGGACUCGCAGCUCUGUCCUGCAGGUCUCCUCCGAAAUGACCGUGUCCAGGUAGGACCCAGAAUACCGCCCUUCUCCCAGUGGGGCAGAUGCCAGGACAGACACUGCAGCUGAGGUUAUGGUUAUACUCUUCCUUCUAAAAUUGUCUCUACGGCAGUUUUCACCCCUCUUUGGAGGGAGAGAGAGUGUGAGAAACUUCGGUGUUCCUGUCGCUCAGGUUCAACUUGGCAUCAACACAUGGCCCCUUUCUUUUCGUUUAUACGUUUGCCGACCUCAUUCCCCAGGGCCUUCUUGCAUUGUUCUACAGCAAAUCCCAGACAUCAUGUUUCUUCCAUAGAUAUUCCCAUUAUGACGCUCUAAAAAGUCAUACGUUUUAAGAACGUAACCCCAGUGGUGGUAUCACCCCCUGCAAUAGCACUGUCACUUUAUUUUUUUUUUUUUAACCGUGCCCAUGUCAUGCAGGAGUUCCCAGGCCAGGGGUCGAGCCCUUACCACAGCAGUGACAACACUGGAUCCCGUAAGCACUAGGCCACCAGGGAACUCCUGGCACUGUCAUUCUUCAGAUUCCCGGUCGUCCGUUCCGUUCCGUUUCCCCGCCUGUCUCAUUUUUUAAAAAAUAGUUGGUUUUGUUUGAUUCGGGCUCCGAACAAGAUCCGUAUGUUUCAUUUAGUUCAUGAUUAGUCUCAGCGUCUCUGUUAAUAAAGAUUAUCCUCAUUCCUAAAGGAAUUAUAUGUUGCAGUUCUGCCCUGUAGAGUGACGUCGCUGCCCCCCCCAUCUCCUGACAGCUGCUGUCAAGCUUUCCUGAGUUUUGUGGAACCGUGUUGUGAUUUUCGAGGCUUCUGCAUUAUUUCUGUUGUCUUUGUGGUUUAAUGUAACCCGUCAUGUUUUUCCUUCCUUCGAUAAGUCUUUCUUGAGAGCCUCCUCUGUGCCAGGCGCUGUACCAGGCCCUGGGCAUCCGGCUGCGAACAGACAGGCUCUCGAGGAGCAUACAGUCUGAGCCCUGCGAGGGUUGUGGGUCUGCUCACUGUCCCCCAGCCCGUGUGCAUCCCAGCCAAGUUGAUGACCACGACGCCCGUCCCUUCUGUGCUCACCCAUCGGCCACGCCAAGGGCUUCGUCUUCAUGUUCUCAUGCUGUCCUUUUAUGUGGUUGAUAAGUGGUGUCCCCAGUACUGAUGAAGAGCCCCGGGUGUGCCUUCUAUGGAAGGCCCCUGUUUCAGAGCCCCGCCCUGGGAUUCCAGCAGUGUCACCAAGGGACUGUGUGUGUGUCCAUUCGAAACUCUUGGGCUUGAGCCUUUGUAGCUAAGCAGGGUAACAUGGAACUCCUGCUUAACUGGAGGAUUGUCCAGAGGCUGACCAAAAACAUCUGGAAGGUGCCCGGAGCUGUUCAGGGGCUCGGCGCCUGCCAAGCCCUGCUAGUGUGUUCUUUGAGCAGGUGGAUUUGCGGUGGGUUGGGGCUUUUGCUGUAAUGAUUAGGCUACCUGCCUAAAGAAGCCUGCUUUCUCAACCUGCUUUUCUUUGCUGGGCAGGAUGGUGUUCGGGGUGACCGUGCUGCCUCUGGCAGAAUCUAGUGGUACAGUUCAGGCUUGUCUUGCUAAUAAGACUCUCACUGAUUUGCAUUUCUCUGAAUAAAUCAUAAGAUUUAUGUUUGGCCACUGUGACGUUUGGGUUUGAGAAUGGUCCAUGAUUCUUGUAUUUUUCCAGUUCAAAUGUAGCUCUCGUGCAGUUUUUGUUAGGAGUUCCUGCUGUGGCACAGCGGGUUAAUGAUUGGCUUGUCUCUGUGGAGGUGCAGGUUCGAUGCCCAACCCGGCACAGUGGGUUAAGGAUCUGGCAUUGCUACAGCUGUAGGUCGAAGCUCUGGCUUGGAUUUGAUCCCUGGCCCGGGAACUCCCAUAUACUGUGGGGGCAGCUGAAAAAGGAAAAAAAAAAAUCCUGGUUAAUAAAAAUGAAUAUAUUUUCAGACACAAAGAUUAAUAUUCUUUCAGCUUUCCUAGAUUUUUUCUUGUAUACUUGAGAUAAUACAGAAUACAUGAAUAUACAAUGACACAGGAUCUUCUUUCACUGAAGGCUGCGUAGUUUAGAGUUUGGUGAUAUUUUGUUUAUUUUUUAUUAAGUAAUCUUUAAUGGUUUUGAUUGUGCACUGACACUGGUUAAAACUUUUGAGCAAAUUUCCUUGCCUGUGUAUAUUUAUAUACUGCAUCGCUGUACUGUUACCUUAUAUACAUUAUAAAACCCCAAAGGAAAAGUUAAAGAGGGCUGGGCAUGUUGCGUUUUUGGAUGAACUACUCUCGGUCCCGCUGGAGCAGAGAGCCUCUUCUUUGCGCUGCGUGUCGGCCCCGCGACGUAUUCGGGCUGUUGCCCUCGCACCGCCCUCUCUCUCUCUUUCUAUGGAUCAUGUCCACGUGCUGCUGUUCUUCUCAUCUUAAGAAAAGCCUUCUUUGGAGUUCCCUUUAUGGCUCCGUGGUAAUGAGCCCAAUGACGACGAGGAUCCAUGAGGAUGUGGGUUCGAUCCCUGGCCUCGCUCAGUGGGUUAAGGAUCCGGCGUUGCCGUGAGCUGUGGUGUAGGUGGCAGAUGCGGCUUGGAUCCCACGUUGCUGUGGCUGUGGUGUAGGCCGGCGGCUACAGCUCCAGUUAGGCCCCUAGCCUGGGAACCUCCAUAUGCCGCAGGUGCAGCCCUAAAAGGUCAAAGAAAAGAAAAGCUACUGCCCAUGUCUCUGCCCCAGUGCAUUUCCGGUCCUUGCUCCCUUCACUUCCUCUUUCAGGUGCCUCCAUGCAGCUUGUCUCCAGCCACUCCAGAUGAAAGUGCUCUCGACAAGGGCAGCAGUGACUUCCUUGCAACUCAAUCUUGUGGCCUCUUCUGGGUCCCCAUCAUAGCAGCUUCACAGUAUUUGGCACAGCGGGUUAUGCCCAUUUCCUUGAAGUGCUGCCUUCUCUGGGUGUGUAUUUCUGGUCCCCCCCCCGCCCCCGCCCCGUCUCGUGGCCUCUCCCUUCUCAUUGUCUCAUCUCUCUGACGUCUGAAGUUGGACGGCCUCUGCAUCUUCUCUUUCUCUUUGCAAUCCUCUCCAUGCUCCUGGCUUAAAUGCCAUCCCUGUGGAUGCUGUCUAGAAGUUGCUUCAGGAGUUCCCGUCGUGGGUCAGUGGUUAACGAAUCCAACUAGGAACCAUGAGGUUUCGGGUUCGAUCCCUGGCCUCACUCAGUGGGUUAAGGAUGCGGUGUUGCCGUGAGCUGUGGUGUAGGUCGCAGACAUGGCUCAGAUCCCGCGUUGCUAUGGCUCUGGAGUAGGCCGGCGGCUACAGCUCUGAUUAGACCCUUAGCCUGGGAACCUCCAUAUGCCGAGGGGGGAACCUUAGAAAAGGCAAAUAGACAAAAAAAAAAAAAAGUAGAAUUUGCUUCAGAGUAAUCCCAAGAGAUAAACAUUGACCAUGAGUUGAUAAUGGUUGAAGCUGGGUGUUGGGUACCCGGGGGUGGGGUAUUGUACUAUUUUCUCUAGUUUUGUGUAUGUUUGAAAUUUUC